UACGAGAGGCCCAAACGUUAUUCGGAAUUACUGGGCUUAAAGAGUUCGUAGGCGGCGCGGAAAGUAGGGUGUGAAAGCCCUCGGCUCAACCGAGGAAUAGCGCUCUAAACUGCCGUGCUUGAGGGACCUAGAGGUAAGCGGAACUGAUGGUGGAGCGGUGAAAUGCGUUGAUAUCAUCAGGAACACCGGAGGCGAAGGCGGCUUACUGGGGGUCUUCUGACGCUGAGGAACGAAAGCCAGGGGAGCGAACGGG
rnacentral:rRNA from 1 species